rnacentral:lncRNA from 1 species
GUUUCUUUACUGGAACUGGUUGACUCGUCUUCUAUGGCAAUUCUGUAUCUAACAAAGUUGUUAGUUGAUCAAAAUUAGCUGGUUCUGAAGUCACUUUGUCGGAUUUUACAGAUUUUGGUUCUUGUGAAACUGGAAUUCCAACACUCGGUUGAACUUCCUUUGAGUCUUGAGCAUCAGUUGGCUCCUUUUGAACUUCGAUGGUGUUGGGAUCUAAUGUCUUUCUGCUCCUCAAUGUCCAUGCUUUAUAAUGUUCAUUCCCUG